UAUCUCUGUAGAGUCUGCAUAUCAAUAAGCGGAGGAAAAGAAACUAACAAGGAUUCCCUUAGUAACGGCGAGUGAAGCGGGAAGAGCUCAAAUUUGAAAUCUUCAAGGUUCUACCUUGACGAAUUGUAGCUUAAAGGAGUGUUUUCUGUUAGAUGAGUAGCAAAAGUUCCUUGGAAUGGGACAUCAUAGAGGGUGAGAAUCCCGUAUUUGGUUAUUCAUUCUAGCUUUGUGAUACACUUUCAAAGAGUCGGAUUGUUUGGGAAUGCAGUCCAAAAUGGGUGGUAAAUUUCAUCUAAAGCUAAAUAUUGGCGAGAGACCGAUAGCGAACAAGUACCGUGAGGGAAAGAUGAAAAGAACUUUGAAAAGAGAGUUAAACAGUACGUGAAAUUGUCAAAAGGGAAGCGUUUGACACCAGUGUUGUUUUUCCGAAAAUCAAUUACGAAUGGCUUGAUUUUGUGUUGUAUUGACCUUAUCAGCUUUCUUCACUUUUUUCGAGUCUUUCUUAAUGCACUUUUCGGUUAACAAGUCAACAUCAAUUUCUUUUGUUGUAAAAGAGUAUUCGGAAGGUGGCUUUCUUUUCGGAGAAAGUGUUUAUAGCCCUAUACUUCUACAAUCGGAGAGAUUGAGGUCUGCAGCGUAGAUCCUUCGGGGUUAGAUACACUUGUGCUAAGUUGUAGCUUUUCAUAGACAACUUGUUGACUAUGUUUAGUCAUGCGGCUUACUCGCUUGUGCUAUUUUACCUACGCUUAGGAUGUUGACGAGACUGUCGAUCUC
rnacentral:rRNA from 1 species